CCCUUAGAUGUUCUGGGCUGCACGCGCGCUACACUGAUGCGUUCAACGAGUUUAUGACCUUGCCCGAUAGGGUUGGGUAAUCUUUUUAAAUCGCAUCGUGAUGGGGAUCGAUUAUUGUAAUUAUUAAUCUUCAACGAGGAAUUCCUAGUAAGCAUGUGUCAUCAGCCCGUGCUGAUUACGUCCCUGCCCUUUGUACACACCGCCCGUCGCUCCUACCGAUUGAGUGGUCCGGUGAAGCCUCCGGAUUGGCGCGCACCUCGGUGCCGCCGAGAAGUUGGCUAAACCUUACCAUUUAGAGGAAGGUGAAGUCGUANCA
rnacentral:rRNA from 1 species